AAACCAGCACCUCAAGUGGUCAGGAGGAUUAUUGGGCCUAAAGCAUCCGUAGCCUGAUCUGUAAGUUUUCGGUUAAAUCUGUACGCUCAACGUACAGGCUGCCGGGAAUACUGCAGAUCUAGGGAGUGGGAGAGGUAGACGGUACUCGGGAGGAAGUGGUAAAAUGCUUUGAUCUCUCGAUGACCACCUGUGGCGAAGGCGGUCUACCAGAACACGUCCGACGGUGAGGGAUGAAAGCUGGGGGAGCAAACCGGAUUAGAAACCCCGGUAGUCC
rnacentral:rRNA from 1 species